rnacentral:lncRNA from 1 species
UUUUACAUUUAUAGAAAUUUUAUUAAUAAAUAACAGUUAGAUUUCAUUUAUCAAAUUUCGCAUUUAAACUGAAAAUUCCAAGAAGUUUAGCCAAAUUAUGAACUUUUACUAAAAAAAUUUGUAAGGGUUCCGCGGAACCCAGUGUCUCGCCUACUUUUGCUGUUAAUCACACACUCAUCAAAAAUGAUGAAAAAAAUCAAUAAAAUUAUUCCUCUCAAUACUAUCUUUUGAUUGUCAGAAGCUUCUGUCCAAGUUUGGUAAAAAUCCAGGCUAGUUUAAGAAUCUUAAAAAUGUUUUAAAUACUUUAACUGCAGACUGUAUGUAAUGUUUAACUGGAAGAAAAAAACUAAGUCCAUUUAUAAGUAAAAUACGGGAAAAAAUGGAAUUUUAUUUUUUACAAAAUUUACAUCUGGAUACUAUCUUCUGAUCAUAAACAAGCUUCUGGCCAAGUUUCUUACAAUUCCAGGAUAGUUUAAGAAAGUUAUUAAAAUUUUAAAAACUUU